rnacentral:misc_RNA from 1 species
UUUCCGUAGGUGAACAUGCGGAAGGAUCAUUAAUGAGUUGUCAUGGGGUUCGAUGCUGGCAGCCAGUUUUUGGAUGCAUGUGCUUGCCCUAACAAUCAUCUUCUUCCAAACACCUGUGCACAUUUUUGAGGGAGUCUUGAGUUGGUUGCCGCUCUUGGGUGAUUUUCUCACAUUCCCUUAAAUCAUUAUACGCUAUUAACAAUGUUGAACGUGCUCUGUGCCGCAAGGCCAUUAAUAUAAUACAACUUUUAACAACGGAUCUCUUGGCUCUC